GACGAACGCUGGCGGCGUGCUUAACACAUGCAAGUCGAACGGAAAGGCCCUGCUUUUGUGGGGUGCUCGAGUGGCGAACGGGUGAGUAACACGUGAGUAACCUGCCCUUGACUUUGGGAUAACUUCAGGAAACUGGGGUUAAUACCGGAUAGGAGCUCCUGCUGCAUGGUGGGGGUUGGAAAGUUUCGGCGGUUGGGGAUGGACUCGCGGCUUAUCAGCUUGUUGGUGGGGUAGUGGCUUACCAAGGCUUUGACGGGUAGCCGGCCUGAGAGGGUGACCGGCCACAUUGGGACUGAGAUACGGCCCAGACUCCUACGGGAGACAGCAGUGGGGAGUAUGGCACAAUGGGCGGAAGCCUGAGGCAGCAACGCCGCGUGCGGGAUGACGGCCUUCGGGUUGUAAACCGCUUUCGCCUGUGACGAAGCGUGAGUGACGGUAAUGGGUAAAGAAGCACCGGCUAACUACGUG
rnacentral:rRNA from 1 species